UGCGUAGGCGGCCAUGUAAGUCCGAUGUGAAAUCCCUCCGCUUAACGGAGGAAGUGCAUUGGAUACUGCGUGGCUCGAGUACGGGAGAGGGAGAUGGAAUUCCCGGUGUAGAGGUGAAAUUCGUAGAUAUCGGGAGGAACACCCGUGGCGAAGGCGGUCUCCUGGAACGAUACUGACGCUGAGGCGCGAAAGCGUGGGGAGCAAACAGGAUUAGACACCCUGGUAGUCCACGCUGUAAACGAUGGUCACUAGGUGUCCCUUGGUUUACAGGGGGUGCCGAAGCUAACGCAUUAAGUGACUCACCUGGGGAGUACGGCCGCAAGGCUAAA
rnacentral:rRNA from 1 species